rnacentral:misc_RNA from 1 species
UGAGAAGGACAAAGGUGAGUACCAUGUUAGGGUGGUGAAGCAGAUCCUGUGGGUCAAUGACAUGAGGUAUGAAUUGCAAGAGAUUUUUGGGAUUGGUAAUUCAGUUGAAAGUGACUUCGAUGGAAAUGAUCCCGGAAAAGAAUGUGUGAUUUGCCUCUCUGAACCUCGGGAUACCACUGUACUUCCAUGUCGGCACAUGUGUAUGUGUAGCGGAUGUGCAAAGGUUUUGAGGUUCCAGACGAAUCGCUGUCCCAUCUGUCGACAGCCAGUUGAACGCCUCCUGGAGAUCAAGGUCAGCGAAGGCGCAGCUGAAGAGUAAAAAUAGGAAGAGUUGCCAUAAUCCACUCUUGUAUAAAUAUCAGUAUUUCUCUUUCUUGACCUUUUGGUUUUCCUUCUCUAUCCAUCCCCCCUAGAGUAGAAUAAUCCAACAGCUGAAAGUCUCUUAGUUAUAGUUUGCCAGUCCUACAAAUGGAUCAUCGAGACAUGCUGUUGAGCUAAGCCCCCU